rnacentral:rRNA from 1 species
UCGGGGUACACGAGCGGCGAACGGGUGAGUAACACGUGAGCAACCUGCCCCUGACUCUGGGAUAAGCGGUGGAAACGCCGUCUAAUACCGGAUACGACCUUCCGCCUCAUGGUGGAGGGUGGAAAGUUUUUUCGGUCAGGGAUGGGCUCGCGGCCUAUCAGCUUGUUGGUGGGGUAACGGCCUACCAAGGCGAUUACGGGUAGCCGGCCUGAGAGGGCGACCGGCCACACUGGGACUGAGACACGGCCCAGACUCCUGCGGGAGGCAGCAGUGGGGAAUAUUGCGCAAUGGGCGAAAGCCUGACGCAGCGACGCCGCGUGGGGGAUGACGGCCUUCGGGUUGUAAACCUCUUUUACCACCAACGCAGGCUCCGGGUUCUCUCGGGGUUGACGGUAGGUGGGGAAUAAGGACCGGCUAACUACGUGCCAGCAGCCGCGGUAAUACGUAGGGUCCGAGCGUUGUCCGGAAUUAUUGGGCGUAAAGAGCUCGUAGGCGGCGUGUCGCGUCUGCUGUGAAAGACCGGGGCUUAACUCCGGUUCUGCAGUGGAUACGGGCAUGCUAGAGGUAGGUAGGGGAGACUGGAAUUCCUGGUGUAGCGGUGAAAUGCGCAGAUAUCAGGAGGAACACCGGUGGCGAAGGCGGGUCUCUGGGCCUUACCUGACGCUGAGGAGCGAAAGCAUGGGGAGCGAACAGGAUUAGAUACCCUGGUAGUCCAUGCCGUAAACGUUGGGCGCUAGG